rnacentral:rRNA from 1 species
AGUAGCCGCGGGAAUACGAAGGGGGCUAGCGUUGUUCGGAAUUACUGGGCGUAAAGCGCACGCAGGCGGCUCGAUAAAUUAGAAGUGAAAGCCCUGGGCUCAACCUAAGAAUUGCAUUUGAUACUGUUUGGCUUGAGUUCGGGAGAGGUGAGUGGAAUUCCCAGUGUAGAGGUGAAAUUCGUAGAUAUUGGAAAGAACACCAGUGGCGAAGGCGACUCUCUGGUCUGUAACUGACGCUGAGGAGCGAAAGCGUGGGGAGCGAACAGGAUUAGAUACCCCGGUAGUCCCUGUCUCUUAUUAU